GACGAACGCUGGCGGCGUGCUUAACACAUGCAAGUCGAACGGAAAGGCCCUGCUUUUGUGGGGUGCUCGAGUGGCGAACGGGUGAGUAACACGUGAGUAACCUGCCCUUGACUUUGGAUAACUUCAGGAAACUGGGGCUAAUACCGGAUAGGAGCUCCUGCUUCCUGGUGGGGGUUGGAAAGUUUCGGCGGUUGGGGAUGGACUCGCGGCUUAUCAGCUUGUUGGUGGGGUAGUGGCUUACCAAGGCUUUGACGGGUAGCCGGCCUGAGAGGGUGACCGGCCACAUUGGGACUGAGAUACGGCCCAGACUCCUACGGGAGGCAGCAGUGGGGAAUAUUGCACAAUGGGCGGAAGCCUGAUGCAGCAACGCCGCGUGCGGGAUGACGGCCUUCGGGUUGUAAACCGCUUUCGCCUGUGACGAAGCGUGAGUGACGGUAAUGGGUAAAGAAGCACCGGCUAACUACGUG
rnacentral:rRNA from 1 species